GGAAUUUUCCGCAAUGGGCGAAAGCCUGACGGAGCAAUACCGCGUGAGGGAUGACGGCCUGUGGGUUGUAAACCUCUUUUCUCAAGGAAGAAGUUCUGACGGUACUUGAGGAAUAAGCAUCGGCUAACUCUGUGCCAGCAGCCGCGGUAAUACAGAGGAUGCAAGCGUUAUCCGGAAUCACUGGGCAUAAAGCGUCUGUAGGUUGUUUAAUAAGUCUGCUGUUAAAGACUGGGGCUCAACCCCAGAAAAGCAGUGGAAACUGUUAGACUUGAGUGUGGUAGAGGUAGAGGGAAUUCCUAGUGUAGCGGUGAAAUGCGUAGAUAUUAGGAAGAACACCAAUGGCGAAGGCACUCUACUGGGCCAUAACUGACACUGAGAGACGACAGCUAGGGGAGCAAAUGGGAUUAGAUACCCCUGUAGUC
rnacentral:rRNA from 1 species